AACGAACGCUGGCGGCAGGCCUAACACAUGCAAGUCGAACGCUGUAGCAAUACAGAGUGGCAGACGGGUGAGUAACGCGUGGGAACCUUCCCAGUGGUACGGAAUAGCUCAGGGAAACUUGAGGUAAUACCGUAUAAGCCCCUUGGGGGAAAGAUUUAUCGCCAUUGGAUGGGCCCGCGUCGGAUUAGCUAGUUGGUGAGGUAAUGGCUCACCAAGGCGACGAUCCGUAGCUGGUUUGAGAGAAUGACCAGCCACACUGGGACUGAGACACGGCCCAGACUCCUACGGGAGGCAGCAGUGGGGAAUAUUGGACAAUGGGCGCAAGCCUGAUCCAGCCAUGCCGCGUGAGUGACGAAGGCCUUAGGGUUGUAAAGCUCUUUUAGCAGGGACGAUAAUGACGGUACCUGCAGAAUAAGCUCCGGCUAACUUCGUGCCAGCAGCCGCCGUAAAAC
rnacentral:rRNA from 1 species